UUCCCUUGCUUCUAAUGGUUAUCACGUACCAACCCAAGUGGCUGCCGCCUUAUUAAUCAUCAUAUUCAUGAAAAGCUCUACUACUAUGAGAAGUAGAACCCUGUGCCCAUCCUCCACAGCACAGCAGUCUUGGCUGAUGAUGUCUGUAUGA
rnacentral:lncRNA from 1 species